CAAAUUAGAGCUUGAUUAAAAAGCAUUUCAUUUACAUUGAAAAGUUACUGUGUAAUUCAGUUUAAUUUGA
rnacentral:tRNA from 1 species